GAUCUAGGGACGCGCAUUUCAAGCGCCCGUGUUGUCGGGUCAAACCGGGCUGCGUUAGCGUUGCGGGCUCGGUCCGUUAGUGGCCUCCUAAGGGUCAUUGACGUGUCAACCGGCCCGCCCGUCCCCUCCUUCUGGAUUCCCGUUCCUGCUAUUGAGUUAGUGGGGACGUCACAGGGGAUUCAUCAUCAGUGUUGUGUCAAAGCGACACGGGUGGUGGAUCUCUGGGGCCCAGAUCGUUUACCGUGAAAAAAUUAGAGUGUUCAAAGCAGGCAGAUUCAAUUUUCUGCCACCGAAUACAUUAGCAUGGGAUAAUGGAAUAGGACCCUGUCCUCCUAUUUUCAGUUGGUUUUGGCAGCGCGAGGACUAGGGUAAUGAUUAAUAGGGAUAGUUGGGGGCAUUAAUAUUUAAUUGUCAGAGGUGAAAUUCUUGGAUUUAUGAAAGAUUAACUUCUGCGAAAGCAUCUGCCAAGGAUGUUUUCAUUAAUCAAGAACGAAAGUUAGGGGAUCGAAGACGAUCAGAUACCGUCGUAGUCUUAACCAUAAACGAUGCCGACCAGCGAUUAGGAGACGUUGAAUACAAAACACCACCAUCGGCGCGAUCGGCCUUGGCGUCUUCGUGUUCACGCACGACAGGCGCGAGGACGGUUUAGCCCGGUGGCACCGGUGAAUGACUCCCCUAGCAGCUUGUGAGAAAUCAUAAGUCUUUGGGUUCCGGGGGGAGUAUGGUCGCAAGGCUGAAACUUAAAGGAAUUGAC
rnacentral:rRNA from 1 species